GGGGAUGUAGCUCAGUGGCAGAGCAUGUGUUUGGCAUACACAAGGACCUGGACUAAAGCCCAGCACCA
rnacentral:tRNA from 1 species